rnacentral:rRNA from 2 species
CGAACGAACUCUGGUAUUGAUUGGUGCUUGCAUCAUGAUUUACAUUUGAGUGAGUGGCGAACUGGUGAGUAACACGUGGGAAACCUGCCCAGAAGCGGGGGAUAACACCUGGAAACAGAUGCUAAUACCGCAUAACAACUUGGACCGCAUGGUCCGAGUUUGAAAGAUGGCUUCGGCUAUCACUUUUGGAUGGUCCCGCGGCGUAUUAGCUAGAUGGUGGGGUAACGGCUCACCAUGGCAAUGAUACGUAGCCGACCUGAGAGGGUAAUCGGCCACAUUGGGACUGAGACACGGCCCAAACUCCUACGGGAGGCAGCAGUAGGGAAUCUUCCACAAUGGACGAAAGUCUGAUGGAGCAACGCCGCGUGAGUGAAGAAGGGUUUCGGCUCGUAAAACUCUGUUGUUAAAGAAGAACAUAUCUGAGAGUAACUGUUCAGGUAUUGACGGUAUUUAACCAGAAAGCCACGGCUAACUACGUGCCAGCAGCCGCGGUAAUACGUAGGUGGCAAGCGUUGUCCGGAUUUAUUGGGCGUAAAGCGAGCGCAGGCGGUUUUUUAAGUCUGAUGUGAAAGCCUUCGGCUCAACCGAAGAAGUGCAUCGGAAACUGGGAAACUUGAGUGCAGAAGAGGACAGUGGAACUCCAUGUGUAGCGGUGAAAUGCGUAGAUAUAUGGAAGAACACCAGUGGCGAAGGCGGCUGUCUGGUCUGUAACUGACGCUGAGGCUCGAAAGUAUGGGUAGCAAACAGGAUUAGAUACCCUGGUAGUCCAUACCGUAAACGAUGAAUGCUAAGUGUUGGAGGGUUUCCGCCCUUCAGUGCUGCAGCUAACGCAUUAAGCAUUCCGCCUGGGGAGUACGGCCGCAAGGCUGAAACUCAAAGGAAUUGACGGGGGCCCGCACAAGCGGUGGAGCAUGUGGUUUAAUUCGAAGCUACGCGAAGAACCUUACCAGGUCUUGACAUACUAUGCAAAUCUAAGAGAUUAGACGUUCCCUUCGGGGACAUGGAUACAGGUGGUGCAUGGUUGUCGUCAGCUCGUGUCGUGAGAUGUUGGGUUAAGUCCCGCAACGAGCGCAACCCUUAUUAUCAGUUGCCAGCAUUAAGUUGGGCACUCUGGUGAGACUGCCGGUGACAAACCGGAGGAAGGUGGGGAUGACGUCAAAUCAUCAUGCCCCUUAUGACCUGGGCUACACACGUGCUACAAUGGAUGGUACAACGAGUUGCGAACUCGCGAGAGUAAGCUAAUCUCUUAAAGCCAUUCUCAGUUCGGAUUGUAGGCUGCAACUCGCCUACAUGAAGUCGGAAUCGCUAGUAAUCGCGGAUCAGCAUGCCGCGGUGAAUACGUUCCCGGGCCUUGUACACACCGCCCGUCACACCAUGAGAGUUUGUAACACCCAAAGUCGGUGGGGUAACCUUUUAGGAACCAGC